rnacentral:rRNA from 1 species
UACGUAGGGUGCAAGCGUUGUCCGGAAUUAUUGGGCGUAAAGGGCUCGUAGGCGGUCCAUCGCGUCGGGAGUGAAAAGCUGGGGCUCAACCCCAGUCCUGCUUCCGAUACGGGUGGACUAGAGGUAUGCAGGGGAGAACGGAAUUCCUGGUGUAGCGGUGAAAUGCGCAGAUAUCAGGAGGAACACCGGUGGCGAAGGCAGCCCCCUGGGCCAACACUGACGCUCAGGCACGAAAGCGUGGGGAGCAAACAGG